CCACAUAUCAAGGUUGACCUCGGAUCAGGUAGGAAUACCCGCUGAACUUAAGCAUAUCAAUAAGCGGAGGAAAAGAAACCAACAGGGAUUGCCCCAGUAACGGCGAGUGAAGCGGCAACAGCUCAAAUUUGAAAUCUGGCCUCGGCCCGAGUUGUAAUUUGUAGAGGAAGCUCUGGUGCGGCGCCGUCCGAGUCUCCUGGAACGGAGCGCCAUAGAGGGUGAGAGCCCCGUAUGGACGGAUGCCAAACCUGUGUGAAGCUCCUUCGACGAGUCGAGUAGUUUGGGAAUGCUGCUCUAAAUGGGAGGUAAAUUCCUUCUAAAGCUAAAUAUUGGCCAGAGACCGAUAGCGCACAAGUAGAGUGAUCGAAAGAUGAAAAGCACUUUGAAAAGAGGGUUAAACAGCACGUGAAAUUGUUGAAAGGGAAGCGCUUGUGACCAGACUUGAGCGCGGCGGAUCAUCCGGUGUUCUCACCGGUGCACUCCGCCGCGCCCAGGCCAGCAUCGGUUUCCGCGGGGGGACAAAGGUCCCGGGAACGUAGCUCCUCCGGGAGUGUUAUAGCCCGGGGCGUAAUGCCCUCGUGGGGACCGAGGACC
rnacentral:rRNA from 1 species